AAAUAAUAUAUUUUAUUGUGUAAUAAUUUGUGCUUUUACAAAAGUACAUCAUACUCCAAAUAUGAUGCUCAAUACAGAUGCACUGAACCAACAGUAAGAAGUCAUGUGUAUGUAAAAUUAAACUGAAUGUGAUUAAAACUCAUGUCAACCUAAAAAUAUCUCAGAGAACCAUUUGGAUAUUUCAUUAUAUGUUUGUAAUGUUUACUUCUUUUGUCUCAGAACCAAAAAAGAUGAAGGGCAACUAACCCAUAAAAAGAAUACAAAUAUAAGAAUAAUUCCAGGUGUGAAAAGUGUGGCUGAUAAAAAACAAACAUAAUUUAUCUCAUAAAUUGAAUGAACAAAACUGGUUGAUUACAAGUCAAAACCGAUACACUAUAAUGAACAUUAAUUCCCCAAAAGGAUAUCUAAGUACAUAUAUUUAAUACCACACUAGGUGGUUAUGUCGUGCAUUUUUGCAAUUCAGAUUAAAAAAACGUGAAAUUAAUGGUUGUGAAAUUUUAAAAUGUGCAUAUUGUUUCAUUACAAAGAAACAUUUUUUAGUGAAACGUCGUGGGAUUACUUUUAUUUUGGGGAAUUUCACAGCAUAUAGAAAUCAGUGCCAGAAAUACCAGACAUGGUGUAUUCUUUAAAUAGGAAAUUAAUGGAAGAUGACUCGCAUACAAAUACUUAUUAUAAUAUAUUUUUUUAUAUACGGUUUUACUUUUCAAACUUUUACUUUACAUUAGUAAAAUACACACAAAUCCAGUGUUUUCCGUUGUCCCAGUACAAUCAAAAAUGGCAUGUGACUCAUUUAGUUUAAUUCCUAUAUAUUUAAAUCAUUCAGUGCUCCUUUACCACCUGUUUCACAUUAUUUCAUAUCAGUGUUUCAUCAGUUGUGGUAUAUCUCAGCUAUGGUAGGGCUUUCGCUGUGGAGCAGCAGAGUUGGUUGUACUGCCUGCUUCUGUCCACCAGGAGGCGACAUUGUAAUUCAGACAAGAGGAUUUCGGGUGUUUCCUGUAGUAUCAGCAUACAACUGCGAUGUAAUAUGUGUUUGGAGGGAGUCAGGGGACCAGGUGCAUAAAUCUGACAGCAUCCUGGAUCACUGUCAUCAGGUGACACCGCAGUGUGGUUUGUAGCUCAGAAUGAUGAUUUGCACUAGUGAUCUUCACCAAAAUGGCCAGAAAUUGGAAUUCAUUUAACAAAAAUGCCUCGCAGACACCUUUUUUUCCCCAGAUUUUAAAUAAACGCUAAUGCUUAUUAUUUUAUUGUACUUUUUAUUAUGUUAAAACUGCAACGUCAUUUGGAGGGAUUUUUUGAAUGUCAAAAAUAUCACCCGGAAUUACUUGAUUAAUUAGUAAUGUUUUAAUUUGAUACUCUUACAUAUUAUUUACUAUUUAUUUAAUACACACUCAUAAUUUAAGUCGUUUUAAAUUGUUUACUCACAAUAUAGAAACAAUACUGCACCAUUUAAUCAUUAAGCUAUUUUUAUGGUUAGACAUAUCUGUCUACUCAUGCAUCUUUGCAUCUAUCUAUUUAUCUCCAUCCAUUUAAUUAUUCAUAUUGUUGUUACAUGAGUUAAUCUAUGUUCUAGGCAUGAGGAUUGUGUGAUGCAGCAGCUUGGAGUCAAAGACAAAUUUCCCUGUGGGACAAUAAAGUGUGUCUUAUGUUAUCUUAUCCCUCCACCUAUUGUUCUAUCUAUCUAUUUAUCCAUCUGUUUAAGUAAUUACAUGCAUUAUUUCAACUUGAAAUCAUUGUUUUGUCAUCAAAUUAGAAUUGCUGUAACUCUUAAGCAUUUAUUUUCACUCAAAGUGUUCUUUGUAUCAUCUGUAGACUAUUAAUAUAGUGACAAAUGAUGGUAUAUUAUUAGAACAUCUUAAUAAAAAUUACAGCUCAGUUUCACACUGUGUCUUAACUACACAACUACACAAAAGCAGGUAAACAGAUCUGAGCCUCACAUUUCUAGCGUGCAGGUCGGCUCGCUGUCACACAGGGCUCUCUCAAGCCAUCUGUCAGGAACUCAAUACAUUUGUCAGUGAAAAAAAAAUAGAGCUGAAUCCAAUAAAUCAUAACAUAAACAAAUCUAGCCAUGGGUUGACAGUGCUGUAUUAUACUUUGGCUAAAUCCUGGGGGACUUGGGAUUAUCCUGCAGUAUCAUAUUUUUUUUGCCAUGUGGUUCAGGGAAAUGCAAGCAGAAAUGUGUGUCUGAGUGGGAGGAAGGCGAUGUGAGGUAAAAAAAAAAACAGAAUAAACUACGCUGUUUAUUAUGGUUUGCAUCUGUAAAUUGAAGCAAACUCGAAUUCAUAAUGAAACCUUGUAUAGGAAUAUAUAAAAAGAAAUGUAGAAAAUCCAAUGGCCUUCAUUUGUGACUUUAAAACCCCAAACCAGUUGUUUAUGCUGCUUUAGUAUUCAGGGGCCCUCAGGCUUCAGGGCCCUGCAUCUCACCCCCUAUUUGUUAUUACAGGAACGAACCGUGUGACAAUCAAAACGUGACAACUUUCACUUUUUUAAAACACGAGGGCAUCUUAAAAAAGAAAGGGGGGGGGGGUGGUAAGAAAAAGAAACUGAUCACAUUUCAGUUGAUUCUCUGCAAAUUGCCGCAGUGCCUUCAGGAAGCCUUCAGACCUUCGACCGGGCGGCGCGCGCGCUGCACGUUAGCGACAAACUACAUUUCCCCCGGUUCCUUAGAUGCAUCACGCAGGAGAAAACUGCUGCACACUCUCCGUCUGUCUCUAAGAUGCUCAAGUGCACCUCGGCAAACAAAUUAAAGGAGCCAGUUUUGCUUUUUCCUUUCAUUUGUCCUUUAAAAAAAAAAAAAAAGCAUCAUGUGAAGUUUGGAAACGCUCAUUAAAAGAUCAAAGUGAGUUGACUAUCAAAGUCCUCUAGCCAUGCAAUUUAGGGAGCCAUUAUGUUUGGUUUGCUGGGGUUUUUUUCUUUGAGGUUUUCAACUGUUCUAACCUUUUGUAAUCUUUGCGCGUUUUUUUGGAGGGAUGAGCUCUCAAGCAACAACAACAAAAAACAACCGAUGAUGACGUAGAUGCAGCUUUUACUACUGUCUGCGUAUUCAUAUUUUGAUAUGUUAUAACUUGAGCGUCGAGGAUUAUUAUUUUCUGAGAUUCUUUGCAAAACAUUGCGCAAAGCUGCGGGCGCGUUUGAGGCCGGACUCGGUGUGAGAUGUGAGGGUUAUUCUCCGGAUGGAUGAAGAUGUAAUUAAAGCCGAUGAUGGUCAAUGUGUUUACACAUAGAUUUUGAUUCGAUUGAGGCCUUUGCUGGGAUUAGAUUAAAGUCCUGAAAUAAUUUGCUCAAAUAAUCCGUUUUGUUCCAUAGUUCUUAUCAGAACAGGAGAACAUUAAUUUAUGAAUAAAGACAUGUUGUUUUUUAAAGGUACUGACAUAAUAGGGAUGAAUAUUUCGUUUUCUACACGCACUUUAACGCAAACUUCCUCUUUUCUUGUGUAAAAAAUCUGAAAAAUCUUAAUUUCUUGGGCAAACCUGUUCGCGUGUUUUCGCUUUUUUUCAAACGUUUCGAUUCUAUGUAGUUAAAAAAAAAAUCUGAAUUCUAUCUUUUCCUGAAAUAAUUUGCCACUCGUCUGUAUUCGAACCUAAUUUAUUUUCAUACUCCGUCAUUAUACCCUCACGCUGAAAACGGAUCGAAAUCCCAGCAGCCCGCAGGAAUGUGCGCCACUAGAAUGGCGCAUUGUGUCGCUCUCUUACCUUUCCGAUGGAUGCAACAGUUCUGCUUACUUUAAAGGGAAUUGCUUAACUUAAGGAGACCAUUGCUUUCUGUACUGCACACCUGCUGCAACGGGGGGGUACCCCCCCCCCUCUUCUUCUUCCUGCCUCACAGCGGCAGAAGAGGGGGGGAGGAGGGGGGCUUGUCAUGUAGAGGCUCAUUAAAACACCGCCGGGCUAAAAAAUUGGCAGAUUGAUUUAUUGAAUGAAUGUUUGAUGUCCUCGUGAACACAAGUGACCUGGCCAAUAGGCUAACUGCUGAAUGGACGAACGGGGAGGGGGAGGGGGGGGCGUUAGACGUGAUAUAUUAGACUAUAUGUUUUUUUUUAAAUGUAUUGAUUAUACGGCACGUAAUGCUUCUUAGUGGUAAGAUAAUCGUGCGUGUGAGGUGGAGGUAAUUGACCCCAAGCUGCAAACAGAAGAAAAACACCCAACAGAAAAAAACACAGCUAAGCCAGCCAAGGGUGGAUGACGUCAUGACUGGCAGGUAUACGGACCUGAUUCCCACACAGUAAGUGUACUGAACGUCUCCUUUAACGAACAAUAGAAACUUAAAAGUGUCCGUUUCCUAAUGUUAAGCACUGUGGCAGUGGGUGGAAGUGGGUUCGGUUGCAGGCUCCUGUGAUGGGCUUGGGAUACCUCCGGUGAACGGCAGAGGGCCACGCGUCUCAUCCGGGCUACAGGUCAUCGCUCGAUGCUCCACGCAGGACAUCCACGAGCAGCAGCCGGGCCUUUGCCAUGGGGAGGGAAAGGCUCCGAGGAGAUGUGCACUGAAAUGUGCUCCCUUCCUUCCUUCCUUCCUUCCUUUAUUCCUCUCAAGUAAUUAUCACAAGAUGGUCUCAACCAGUUAUGAUACAUAGUAUUACCGUGGUGUCCGUUAACUCUGAAUCCCCUCGUGAAUAAAGCAGCAGGCGGUUAUUUUUUCUGUUAGUAUCAAGAUGAAAACGAAUGCUUGCGUUGGCUUGUCUGCGCCGCUGUGCGUCUCCUUGUGUCCGGUCCCCGGCGCAUCGCCCUGCCGGUGUCCGUGUCCGGGGCUGGAUCACGAUGAGCCUCUCGUGCAGCCCUGUCAUGUCAGACAGGCCUCAGUGCAGCACCUAGCACCUUAAAACGCACGCACUGACGUCUCGGUAAUUAUUAGGCAUGCGUGUCAUUUUUAAAUAACGCGCAUUUACUUGUAUGGGAAUUUUUAACUAGUGAGAGUAAGAUAUUUUACAUAACAUGUAUAGCCGUUAUUUCUGCAAAAAUAAAUACAGGACAGGCUUGUAUUAUUAUGCAUGUUAUUACCUGGCCUACCAUUAUAAUGAUUAUUAUGAUUGUGUGUAGCAUUAUUCCCGGUGCUUCUCCGUGGCCCGCAGAUGGAGAGCUCGGUUUGUCGCUGUUAUCGACGCUGAUCGCCAGGUGCAUCAGCUGAAAGGAGACAGCGGCCCCGACGGGAAACAAUACACAAAGGGGCAAGAAAAGAUGUCGCAGUUAUGGUUUGAUGGUGACGUCACAUUAUAGAAUAUAAUACCGGGACAUAACACGCACAAUGAUGAAACUGUACUCCUCUCCAAUAGCAUCCCAGCGGCAGUGAAUGGAGGAAUGAAAAAGAAGGGGGGGGAAAAAAAGAGAAGUGCAUCCAUGCACGCAGUGGCAGUGGGAGGAUCCACUCGCUCCGAUCUCGGUGUGAGACUGUGUGCAGCGGCCGGGACACAAGCAGCCGAGCGCCUCUGCUACUUCCACACAGUUACUGCCGGGACAUCUACAUACAUACACGCUGCUAUUUUUGGAUUUGUUGUCAAGUUGUGUUGCUGACUCCCCCCCCACCCCCCCUUACCCUCCGCUCCCCCCGUCUCCCCC
ensembl:lncRNA